GACGAACGCUGGCGGCGUGCUUAACACAUGCAAGUCGAACGGAAAGGCCCUGCUCUUGUGGGGUGCUCGAGUGGCGAACGGGUGAGUAUCACGUGAGUAACCUGCCCUUUACUUUGGGAUAACUUCAGGAAACUGGGGCUAAUACCGGAUAUGAGCUCCUGCUGCAUGGUGGGGGUUGGUAAGUUGCGGCGGUUGGGGAUGGACGCGCGGCUUAUCAGCUUGUUGGUGGGGUAGUGGCUUACCAAGGCUUUGACGGGUAGCCGGCCUGAGAGGGUGACCGGCCACAUUGGGAUUGAGAUACGGCCCAGACUCCUACGGGAGGCAGCAGUGGGGGAUAUUGCACGAUGGGCGGAAGCCGGAUGCAGCAACGCCGCGUGGGGGAUGACGGCCGUCGGGGUGUAACCCGCUUUCGCCUGUGACGAAGCGUGAGUGACGGUAAUGGGUAAAGAAGAACCGGCUAACUACGUG
rnacentral:rRNA from 1 species